AUAUAUCAAUUUUUAUUAUUUAGUAUGUUAGAAAGAGAUUUGUGUAUACACAUUAAUUCAAAAGUGGCUUUUGGAAAUUUUACGCCAUUUACUUUUUCAAUUUAAGACGCUAGCAGAGUUCAAAAAGUGAAAAACCAAGAAACAAGGUAAAUAUGUCUACAUAUGUAUAUGCGAAUGGGCAUGUAUUGCGCAUAUUGUUGCAGUUUUUCUUCUAUGUAAUAUCAGGUUGAUUGAAUGCAUUCAAACCGAGUAGCGGAGUUCAAACAGCGAAAUAAGUAAAAUACUAUAUAUGGCUUCCACAUCAUCGCGUCUCAACUGGUUGAUCAUUCUCAACAACAACACUCCUUUGGAAGAAUCGUUAUUUAAAGAAACCCUUCAUCAGAAAACCAACGUGAGCUCUACAGGAAACAUAAAAAUUCGACAUCUGAAAAAUAUGUUAGUUUGCUAGAGACCAUAGGUGUGUUUCUUCUUCUUAACUGACGGAGAUCGCUUACAUGAUUCAAACCGAGAUAACAACAUUGCCGAUUCAGCCAGGUUCCACUGUACCCUCCACCUGAUCUUUCCAACGGAGUGGAGGUCUUCCUGCGCAGCGGCUGUAUUUGUACCAUUGUCUAUUAGGUAUUACAGUGAGUUGAACUUACAAAUUUUUAAGCAGUUAUUUGAAAAGAACUUUUUAACUUUGGAUAUGUAAAUUCUUACUAUUUAUAAUUUUAAUAAACCAAUAGAAACUUGAAAA